rnacentral:rRNA from 1 species
AACGCGUAGGUGACCUACCCGGAAGUGGGGAAUAACUGCCCGAAAGGGUGGCUAAUACCGCAUGUGGUCGGCGAAUCAGAUCGCCGUCCAAAGCCGAACGGCGCUUCCGGAGGGGCCUGCGUCCGAUUAGCUAGUUGGCGAGGUAACGGCUCACCAAGGCGACGAUCGGUAGCUGGUCUGAGAGGAUGAUCAGCCAGACUGGGACUGAGAACGGCCCAGACUCCUACGGGAGGCAGCAGUCGGGAAUUUUGCCCAAUGGACGAAAGUCUGAGGCAGCAACUCCGCGUGAGGGAUGAAGGCUUUCGGGUCGUAAACCUCUUUUCCCAGGGAAGAUCCAAGACGGUACCUGGGGAAUAAGCCACGGCUAACUACGUGCCAGCAGCCGCGGUAAUACGUAGGUGGCGAGCGUUAUCCGGAUUUACUGGGCGUAAAGCGCGCGCAGGCGGCUGGCCAAGUCCGAUGUGAAAGCUUCCGGCUUAACUGGAAAACGGCAUCGGAUACUGGUCGGCUGGAAGGUGGGAGAGGGUAGCGGAAUUCCCGGUGUAGUGGUGAAAUGCGUAGAUAUCGGGAGGAACACCAGUGGCGAAAGCGGCUACCUGGCCCACUCUUGACGCUGAGGCGCGAAAGCUA